rnacentral:lncRNA from 1 species
CUCACACACAUCCAUGAGGGAAGAAUCAUUCCCAUUUAACAGACAAUGUAACUGGGCCUGAAUAUAGCUCAGCGACUUGCCCCAGGCCCACCAGGAAGUGGAUAAAGCCAUGCUCAACCCAGCACUUCUUCUCUCUACCUUCCACCGAUCCUGCCUGCUCAUCUUCCCUCCUUGGUGAAGAACUCAACCAUCUCAUGCUCCUACUACCAUGGUUGACGAGGAAGCUGAGCCACCAGACAGAGCAGUGGUGACCUACAGAGCCGUGCUUUCAUGACCAUAUGGCCUCUCAGCCGCGGGACUUGCCACACUGUCCCAUACAAUCCUCUGUCAUUUUAGUAUCUGUCACUGCCAGGUCUUCUUCACACCAGCUUGUGAGAAAAAAUGGUGCAUCACUUCUCAAUCCUGGUUUUAGUGACAUCAUAUUGAUAGCUUGAACUUUGCCAUAUUUACAUCACAGAAAUCAGUAAACACCAUUAAAAAGGCUUUUGUUUUCUUCCUUUUUUUUUUCUCAGAGAGCCAGUUAUUAAACAUUUACCAACAUGUGCAAGAACGGGUUUCAAGGCCGAGGUGGGCAGAUCACAAGGUCAGGACUUUGAGACCAGCCUGGCCAAUAUGGUGAAACCCCAUUUCUACUAAAAAUACAAAAAAAUUAGCCAGGCGUGGUGAUGCAUGCCUGUAAUCCCAGCUACUCGGUAGGCUGAGGCAGGAGAAUUGCUUGAACCCGGGAGGCGGAGGUUUGCAGUGAGCCAAGAUCGCGCCACUGCACUCCAGCCUGGCAACAGAGCAAGACUCCGUCUCAAACAAAACACAGCACAACAAAACAAAAAAGAACGAGUUUCAUAGUGAGAAACAGCGGAGAAACCAGCUUACCUGGUGGGCCUUGAGUGGCCCCUACAAACUCCAACCUGUUCAAGACUCAUUUGCCACGUUGUACCUUCCAGCCAAGGCAAUCCCCCCAGCCUGAGCUACUUCCCAGACCAGACCACAGAAGCAAGGCCAUGCUCACCGAGGACCCCACUUGUGGACUAGACUUCUGUCCUGCUGUGGCCUCAAAAGCAAUAGCCAGGGCCCCAUGAUGAAGCUGCCAUCAGAAGCACAGGUGUGCCUGGCAAGGACACAGGAGGACCACGGCUCCAUGCCGAUGAGAAUGGCAGCUAAGUCUGAAGCUUUCUAUGAUUUAGAUUCCUGGUUGCGAGAGGGAGCCUAUAGGAAUGGCGAGAAGAGUGAGAACUUUGCAGAGGCAGCAAGUGGCUAUGGGCUCAGAUCCUCUCUUACUUCAAGGGAUCUGGGCUGGAUGCUUGGGCGCGAGAGAGAAGAAUGGCUCUCAACUGGGCGGGGAAGAGUAGCCCGCAAGGAGGCAGCGGCUCCAGGAUGGGAAGUGAGGAUGCCAAAAAAGCAUCCCUAGGAAGGUUCCUGCCUUUCCACGAGGCUAUGGGGC